AUACGUAGGGGGCAAGCGUUGUCCGGAAUGACUGGGCGUAAAGGGCGUGUAGGCGGCCGAUUAAGUCUGGAGUGAAAGUCCUGCUUUCAAGGUGGGAAUUGCUUUGGAUACUGUCGGGCUUGAGUGCAGGAGAGGUAAGUGGAAUUCCCAGUGUAGCGGUGAAAUGCGUAGAGAUUGGGAGGAACACCAGUGGCGAAGGCGACUUACUGGACUGUAACUGACGCUGAGGCGCGAAAGUGUGGGGAGCAAACAGGAUUAGAUACCCUGGUAGUCCACACUGUAAACGAUGAAUGCUAGGUGUAGGGGGUAUCGACCCCUUCUGUGCCGCAGUCAACACAAUAAGCAUUCCGCCUGGGGAGUACGGCCGCAAGGUUGAAACUCAAAUGAAUUGACGGGG
rnacentral:rRNA from 1 species